rnacentral:rRNA from 1 species
GACAGAGGGGGCAAGCGUUGUCCGGAGUUACUGGGCGUAAAGGGCGCGGAGGCGGCCUGCGGCGUCGGCGCUGAAAGCGCCCCGCUUAACGGGGCGAGGCGUGCCGAUACGCGCAGGCUCGAGGCGAGCAGAGGGUGGUGGAAUUCCGGGUGGAGCGGUGAAAUGCGUAGAGUUCCGGAGGAACGCCAGUGGGGAAGCCGACCUCCUUGGCUCGGCCUGCCCCUGCGGCGCGACAGCGUGUGGAGCAAACCGG